rnacentral:other from 1 species
GAAUCUUUAAGAACUUCAGAUAAAUCGAACAAUACACUAAUACAAGUUGUUUUCUACCAACAUGUUCAAUGCGGCUAAUCUGACCGUGGAGCUGUGAAGCGCUCAAACCCGAGUGUUGUAUACAGUCGUAAUGCGUAAGUCCAUGAGGAACCGACUACUGUUACCUCUGUUGGUGUGUUUCUCCUUUAUUCUCUUUUAUUAUUAUUUGUUAUUGCAAAUACUACAACUUUGAUCAACAUGUC